rnacentral:rRNA from 1 species
UACAGGGGGUGCUAGCGUUGUUCGGAAUUACUGGGCGUAAAGGGCGCGUAGGCGGCUUCGUAAGUCAGAUGUGAAAUCCCCGGGCUUAACUCGGGACGUGCAUUUGAAACUGCGAGGCUAGAGUGCAGUAGAGGAUGGUAGAAUUCCCAGUGUAGAGGUGAAAUUCGUAGAUAUUGGGAGGAAUACCGGUGGCGAAGGCGGCCAUCUGGGCUGUAACUGACGCUGAGGCGCAAAAGCGUGGGGAUCAAACAGG